rnacentral:tRNA from 1 species
GGAUUGUGGCUCAGCGGUAGAGCACUUGCCUAGCAUGUGUGAGGUGCUGGGUUUGAUCCUUAGCACCA